CAUGCGGCUUUCCUCAAAGCCACACCCUAGAUUCCAGAAAAUCUGU
rfam:Lonchura striata domestica isolate white83orange57 scaffold_116, whole genome shotgun sequence.